rnacentral:rRNA from 1 species
UCGAGCAGGGUCGAAAGACGGACUUAGUGAUCCGGUGGUUCCGCAUGGAAGGGCCAUCGCUCAACGGAUAAAAGCUACCCCGGGGAUAACAGGCUUAUCUCCCCCAAGAGUUCACAUCGACGGGGAGGUUUGGCACCUCGAUGUCGGCUCAUCGCAUCCUGGGGCUGUAGUCGGUCCCAAGGGUUGGGCUGUUCGCCCAUUAAAGCGGUACGCGAGCUGGGUUCAGAACGUCGUGAGACAGUUCGGUCCCUAUCCGUCGUGGGCGUAGGAAAUUUGAGAGGAGCUGUCCUUAGUACGAGAGGACCGGGAUGGACAUACCUCUGGUGUACCAGUUGUCGUGCCAACGGCAUAGCUGGGUAGCUAUGUGUGGACGGGAUAAGUGCUGAAAGCAUCUAAGCAUGAAGCCCCCCUCAAGAUGAGAUUUCCCAACUUCGGUUAUAAGAUCCCUCAAAGAUGAUGAGGUUAAUAGGUUCGAGGUGGAAGCAUGGUGACAUGUGGAGCUGACGAAUACUAAUCGAUCGAAGACUUA